CUAAUCAACUACAAAUUGUUAUACUGUUAAACUGCAUUAUAAAUAUUUUAAUCAAAAAUGUACGCGCAGCCUGUACGUAUUUUAGCAUUUGCUACUAUACUGUAUCUGGAGAUAUGUUUUUCCUCUGCCACCCAAAACGAAAAUCCAGUUAAAGCUGUUGUGCAGUGUAGUGAAACACAUAUUAUUGGAAUUCAGAGAAGUUUAACAGAGUUUGGAAUAAAAAUAGACAAAUUAUCUAAUUCUUUCGCAAAUCGCUUUCGUGAUGCGAAUAUCAGUGUUGGGUCUUCGCAUAUGAAUAUGGAACUUUGUGGGCAUUUUGAAGGACCAGGAGAGGACAAGGAUUGUAGUGCGCUGUCCACUUGUCAGAAGGGUUAGAUACGUCAAAAUCCAGAUUGCUAAAGGCUCUGACAACUAUCUUCAUUUGGCAGAGGUUAAAGUUUGGGCGACCAAUGUUUUGUGAAUGUAAACUUCUAAAUAUAUACAUAUAAAUGCAUUUAAAAGA